rnacentral:rRNA from 1 species
UCUUGGUCAUUUAGAGGAAGUAAAAGUCGUAACAAGGUCUCCGUUGGUGAACCAGCGGAGGGAUCAUUACCGAGUACUAUAACUCAUAACCCUUUGUGAACCUUCAUACCUGUUGCUUCGGCGGCGCGCCUCUCGGGGCGUGCCCGCCGGCAUUAUCAGAAUCUCUGUUCGAACCCGACGAUACUUCUGAGUGUUCUAAGCGAACUGUUAAAACUUUCAACAACGGAUCUCUUGGCUCCAGCAUCGAUGAAGAACGCAGCGAAACGCGAUAUGUAAUGUGAAUUGCAGAAUUCAGUGAAUCAUCGAAUCUUUGAACGCACAUGGCGCCUUCCAGUAUCCUGGGAGGCAUGCCUGUCCGAGCGUCGUUUCAACCCUCGAGCCCCCGUGGCCCGGCGUUGGGGACCUGCCCAGGCAGUCCCCGAAAACCAGUGGCGGACCCGACGGGCCCUUCCUUUGCGUAGUAACAUCUGCCUCGCAUCGGGAGCCCCCGGGCUAUCCGGCCUCUAAACCCCCCUCAAGCCCGCUCCGGCGGCACCAAGGUUGACCUCGGAUCAGGUAGGAAUACCCGCUGAACUUAAGCAUAUCAAUAAGCGGAGGA